ensembl:lncRNA
AUUCCAUAUUGUACCAAAUAAUUCUUGAGAAUGGAAGGACAUCUAUGAAAAAGCUGAAACAAACAUUGAUCUGCAAAAGACGAAUGAUCCAAAACACACAAGUAAAACUAGAACAGAAUGACUCAAAAGAAGAAAUGAAGGGUUGUGUAAUGGCCUAGUCAAAGCCAAAUAAGUGCACUUAUUUUUCUGUGCCCUGAAAUUGCUUUAUUCAUUUUAAUUAGAUAAGGGUUUCACAGAAUACCUUUGGCCAGGUCGUCAUUGAAAAUAAGAAUAGGUUUUCAGUUGACUCACCCGGUUAAAUAUAAUGUUUAACUAAUGAAUAUGUCAGCAGAAUGUCAUCCUGGUUCCGUAUCACCACACAGGAUUCCACCUCCCAGGCUUCAACUCUCCACGGGGAGUGGAAAUCAUUGCCUGAUGCCUUAGAUGUACACACCCAGUAGGCCAUAUGGCUCUUAGAUCCAUCUCUGACGUAAUGCUGUAAUUCUGAGGUACUUCCGGGUGUGAUCUGCAUGACUAGCCUGCCCUCUGGUGGUGAAAAGCAUUAUAAUCCACUAUGAGUCUAACUACAUCUAUUUUACCAAGCCAUUAUUACAUGCAGUGGUCACAAAGUAUUUAAACAAAUACCCGGUCUUGUAUCCCAAAAAGCAAGCAAUAAUGUUGAAGCAGUUUAAUCAAAGUUUAUUCUCCACUUAUACAAGGACAAAGCAGGUACAAAUGAUGCAAAGGUCACAUACCACACUGUCCGCCAUAUUGCUUAAAUAUACCAUUAAGACACCUAGUAACCCAUUCAAACUCGUGUUAACUAACAUACCACGAAUACAUGAAGACCUUCAUUUACAUUAUUCAUCAUACAGUCUAUAAUCUUAAAGGAAUUAUGCUUUUUUUCAGACAGAAAAAUGGCAAAAAUAUUUAUUUUUGCUGAAAGAGCAGUAGGGCAGAUUCAAUGUUUUGUGAUAUCUGCAUGAGAAAUCAAAACAAAGUAAUCACUGUAGAAAAGGGCAGUGCAGCUCACCAUAGGAAGGGAGACUAGGCCAGUGCUGUGUGUCUGUGUGUUUGGUGGGGGUGUAUAAAGGUAUUUAUAGCUACUUCCUCUUGGGCUCCAUGUUGUUGCGACAUCACUUCAGUCUGGGUGGGUCUGGUUGCCACAGACCAAGGAACAGAGCUUUUAAGGAGACACACACACACACACUAUACACAUAUACGAACCCUGCUCUAAUCACACAAUGGUUUGAGUUUGUACUUCCUUUGUGCGCUGUGCCUCUCACAGCCACUUAACAUAGCAUAGGCUCCAGUCAAUCCAGAGACGGGCCAUUAAAUCAGCAGACAUAUAACAUAGAACAUGACAUCACAGCCAGUCCACCCGUAACGGAGAGGAGAUUGGGCUUGGGGAUCAGCCUACCGCACACCCGAACAGAGCCCAGCCUUUAUUCCUUCAUCACGUCCUUUUCUGGCAUGGUCUGUUUCUCCGCAAAACGCCGGUUUGUUAAUGUCUAGAUGUUUCAGUGUGUUCAGGUAUGUACAGUAUGUAUUGUGUGCAUUUCCUGUUGAGCUUUUCGUUGUGAUAUGGGUGGUCCGGUGUCCCACCGGGGCCGACGUGGCCGGGUCAACAAGCCAGACAGCCAAUCAGAUGGCGGCCCCUCCCGUUUCCUGCACUGGCUCGUCCGGCAUUCAGAAGGCACUCAGCAGUAUUCCGGAGUAUUCUGUGAGCAUUCCCGAGACAGGCAACGCAAACAUCCCACUCCCGGCUGCUAGAGGGCGCUGCUGAGAGUGUAG